rnacentral:rRNA from 1 species
UACGGGGGGGGCAAGCGUUGUUCGGAAUUACUGGGCGUAAAGGGCUCGUAGGCGGCCAACUAAGUCAGACGUGAAAUCCCUCGGCUUAACCGGGGAACUGCGUCUGAUACUGGAUGGCUUGAAUCCGGGAGAGGGAUGCGGAAUUCCAGGUGUAGCGGUGAAAUGCGUAGAUAUCUGGAGGAAUACCGGUGGCGAAGGCGGCAUCCUGGACCGAGAUUGACGCUGAAUGGCGAAAGCUAGGGGAGCAAACGGG